rnacentral:rRNA from 1 species
AUUGAACGCUAGCGGGAUGCCUUACACAUGCAAGUCGAACGGCAGCACGGACUUCGGUCUGGUGGCGAGUGGCGAACGGGUGAGUAAUGUAUCGGAACGUGCCCAGUAGCGGGGGAUAACUACGCGAAAGCGUAGCUAAUACCGCAUACGCCCUACGGGGGAAAGCAGGGGAUCGCAAGACCUUGCACUAUUGGAGCGGCCGAUAUCGGAUUAGCUAGUUGGUGGGGUAACGGCUCACCAAGGCGACGAUCCGCAGCUGGUUUGAGAGGACGACCAGCCACACUGGGACUGAGACACGGCCCAGACUCCUACGGGAGGCAGCAGUGGGGAAUUUUGGACAAUGGGGGAAACCCUGAUCCAGCCAUCCCGCGUGUGCGAUGAAGGCCUUCGGGUUGUAAAGCACUUUUGGCAGGAAAGAAACGUCGCGGGUUAAUACCUCGCGAAACUGACGGUACCUGCAGAAUAAGCACCGGCUAACUACGUG